GGUGANAGGGGCGCAAGCCUGACCCAGCAACGCCGCGUGAAGGAAGAAGGCUUUCGGGUUGUAAACUUCUUUUGACAGGGAAGAGCAGAAGACGGUACCUGUCGAAUAAGCCACGGCUAACUACGUGCC
rnacentral:rRNA from 1 species